UACGGGGGGGGCAAGCGUUGUUCGGAAUUACUGGGCGUAAAGGGCGCGUAGGCGGCCUGCUAAGUCGGACGUGAAAUCCCUCGGCUCAACCGGGGAACUGCGUCCGAUACUGGCGAGGCUUGAAUCCGGGAGAGGGAUGCAGAAUUCCUGGUGUAGCGGUGAAAUGCGCAGAUAUCAGGAGGAACACCAGUGGCGAAGGCGGUGCUCUGGGCCGGAACUGACGCUGAGGAGCGAAAGCGUGGGGAGCAAACAGG
rnacentral:rRNA from 1 species